AAUGAACGCUGGCGGCGUGCUUAACACAUGCAAGUCGAACGAGGCUGAGGGGGCAACUCCUCAGUUUAGUGGCGGACGGGUGAGUAACACGUGGGUAACCUGCCCGGAAGUGGGGAAUACCUCGGGGAAACUCGAGCUAAUACCGCAUAACAUCUUUAGGACGAUGGUCCUGACGAUCAAAGCGGGGUCGCAAGAUCUCGCGCUACCGGAUGGGCCCGCGCCUGAUUAGCAGUUGGUGGGGUAACGGCUCACCAAGGCUUCGAUCAGUAACCGGCCUGAGAGGGCGAUCGGUCACACCGGAACUGAGACACGGUCCGGACUCCUACGGGAGGCAGCGAGUGGGGAAUCUUGCGCAAUGGGCGAAAGCCUGACGCAGCAACGCCGCGUGGAGGAUGAAGGCCCUUGGGUUGUAAACUCCUGUCGGCUGGGAAGAAAUCUUCC
rnacentral:rRNA from 1 species